rnacentral:rRNA from 1 species
CACGCCGUAAACGUUGGGCGCUAGGUGUGGGGACUUUCCACGGUUUCCGUGCCGUAGCUAACGCAUUAAGCGCCCCGCCUGGGGAGUACGGCCGCAAGGCUAAAACUCAAAGGAAUUGAC